GUCUGAAUGGCCGAGCGGUCUAAGUCGCUGCGUUCAGGUCGCAGUCCAGUACUCUGGGCGAGGGUUCGAAUCCUUCUUCUGACA
rnacentral:tRNA from 1 species